GCCCGGAUGAGCCUCGGUGGGCCGGGGUGCAGGCUUCAAACCUGCAGCUGCUUGACGGCAGAGUGGUUCAAUUCCACCUUCCGGGC
rnacentral:tRNA from 1 species